rnacentral:rRNA from 1 species
CUGAGGCACGAAAGCGUGGGGAGCAAACAGGAUUAGAUACCCUGGUAGUCCACGCCGUAAACGAUGAGUACUAAAUGUUGGGUAAAACCAGUGUUGAAGUUAACACAUUAAGUACUCCGCCUGAGUAGUACGUACGCAAGUAUGAAACUUAAAGGAAUUGACGGGACUCCGCACAAGCGGUGGAUCAUGUUGUUUAAUUCGAAGGUACCCGAAAAACCUCACCAGGUCUUGACAUGCUUCUGCAAAGCUGUAGAAACACAGUGGAGGUUAUCAGUUGCACAGGUGGUGCAUGGUUGUCGUCAGCUCGUGUCGUGAGAUGUUGGGUUAAGUCCCGCAACGAGCGCAACCCUUAUUGUUAGUUGCCAGCACGUAAUGGUGGGGACUUUAGCAAGACUGCCAGUGAUAAAUUGGAGGAAGGUGGGGACGACGUCAAAUCAUCAUGCCCCUUAUGACCUGGGCUACAAACGUGAUACAAUGGCUGUUACA